rnacentral:rRNA from 1 species
GGAAGUAAAAGUCGUAACAAGGUCUCCGUUGGUGAACCAGCGGAGGGAUCAUUACUGAGUUUACGCUCUACAACCCUUUGUGAACAUACCUAUAACUGUUGCUUCGGCGGGUAGGGUCUCCGCGACCCUCCCGGCCUCCCGCCUCCGGGCGGGUCGGCGCCCGCCGGAGGAUAACCAAACUCUGAUUUAACGACGUUUCUUCUGAGUGGUACAAGCAAAUAAUCAAAACUUUUAACAACGGAUCUCUUGGUUCUGGCAUCGAUGAAGAACGCAGCGAAAUGCGAUAAGUAAUGUGAAUUGCAGAAUUCAGUGAAUCAUCGAAUCUUUGAACGCACAUUGCGCCCGCCAGCAUUCUGGCGGGCAUGCCUGUUCGAGCGUCAUUUCAACCCUCAAGCUCUGCUUGGUGUUGGGGCCCUACAGCUGAUGUAGGCCCUCAAAGGUAGUGGCGGACCCUCUCGGAGCCUCCUUUGCGUAGUAACUUUACGUCUCGCAACUGGGAUCCGGAGGGACUCUUGCCGUAAAACCCCCAAUUUUCCAAAGGUUGACCUCGGAUCAGGUAGGAAUACCCGCUGAACUUAAGCAUAUCAAUA